rnacentral:rRNA from 1 species
GACGAACGCUGGCGGCGUGCUUAGCACAUGCAAGUCGAACGGAAAGGCCCUGCUUUUGUGGGGUGCUCGAGUGGCGAACGGGUGAGUAACACGUGAGUAACCUGCCCUUGACUUUGGGAUAACUUCAGGAAACUGGGGCUAAUACCGGAUAGGAGCUCCUGCUGCAUGGUGGGGGUUGGAAAGUUUCGGCGGUUGGGGAUGGACUCGCGGCUUAUCAGCUUGUUGGUGGGGUAGUGGCUUACCAAGGCUUUGACGGGUAGCCGGCCUGAGAGGGUGACCGGCCACAUUAGGACUGAGAUACGGCCCAGACUCCUACGGGAGGCAGCAGUGGGGAAUAUUGCACAAUGGGCGGAAGCCUGAUGCAGCAACGCCGCGUGCGGGAUGACGGCCUUCGGGUUGUAAACCGCUUUCGCCUGUGACGAAGCGUGAGUGACGGUAAUGGGUAAAGAAGCACCGGCUAACUACGUG